rnacentral:rRNA from 1 species
GAUGAACGCUAGCUACAGGCUUAACACAUGCAAGUCGCGGGGCAGCAUGAAUUUAGCUGCUAAAUUGAUGGCGACCGGCGCACGGGUGAGUAACGCGUAUCCAACCUUCCCCUGUCCACGGGAUAGCCCGUCGAAAGGCGGAUUAAUACCGUAUGAGGUCACACGAUGGCAUCAGACUGUGACGAAAGGUUUGGCGGACAGGGGAUGGGGAUGCGUCCGAUUAGGUAGUCGGCGGGGUAACGGCCCACCGAGCCGACGAUCGGUAGGGGUUCUGAGAGGAAGGUCCCCCACAUUGGUACUGAGACACGGACCAAACUCCUACGGGAGGCAGCAGUGAGGAAUAUUGGUCAAUGGCCGAGAGGCUGAACCAGCCAAGUCGCGUGAAGGAUGAAGGAUCUAUGGUUUGUAAACUUCUUUUAUACGGGAAUAAAGUGAGUCACGUGUGGCUUUUUGUAUGUACCGUAUGAAUAAGCAUCGGCUAACUCCGUG